GAGGGAGGGAGCCUGCAGCGACUCUAUCAUGUUACUGUGGUGGUGGGGGAACAGCGGGCGUGAUGGCAGUAGUCAGUCGUCAACACAACACCAGCCAGCUCCACCACACUCUCCCCGCCCACGCCCACACUCACGCCCACGCCCACGCACUCACAGCUUAGGAAACACUCUUCGCUCCAGUCCGGCAAGCUCUUCCUCCUCCUGCAUCUCCUCCUCCCUCCUCAACGUGGUAUUUUUAGACUCCCCACAAGGCAUUCCAGUCAAGACCACGAAAGUUGCAUGUGGUGUUUUGGUCUUCAACUUUUGGCAAGAUGCACAGAGGCCCUAAGAUGCCAAGGGAUACCAACUAAUCACCCGUGGCAGCUCCGAUCUCCCAGGGGACGCCCGAUGGAAAAAUGCAGCUGCAGAAAUUAUCCAAAAGCGGAAGGGGUGACGUGGACCACAGCAAGGAGGAGCAAAACAGCAGCAUCUGGCGGCCUUGCAUCUUGAAGGGCUCAGCAAACCACCAGCGCCUGAGGACAACACAGUAACUUUUAUUAAUUCCACCCGGGAAAUAUGUUGUACAUCAAUGAGAUCAUACAUAGAUUGCCCAUGAAAGUUUGUGAGAGUGGUGCAAAUAUUCAAGGAUCUUCAGUCAUAGAUGAUGUAGCCAUAAUUUUUUUUUUAUAAUUUGUGAUGAAUGUUUUGCUUUAUAAAAUGAUGCGAGGAAGUGCUAUGGAAGUACUAUGGAAGUGAAAUGCGGGGGAUUCACUUCAAAGUAACAAUAAAAACUAUAAUCCUACAAUAAUGAAUACGUUAAUAAACAAAUGAUUAAAUGAAAAGUAUACAUACAUCUUUGAUCUAACAUCGUCUCACGCUGUGUAAAAUACGAUUUGUUGCUAAUAUUUAAACUGAUGCCUUUACAUAUAUUUCUGAAAUGUUUCGGUGAAUUUACAAAACUUAAAGUAUUGCAUUUAUUUUCUGUUCCUAAUAAAUAUAAGGAUGUUCUCAGGUGGCA